CGGACGGGUGAGUAAUGUCUGGGAAACUGCCUGAUGGAGGGGGAUAACUACUGGAAACGGUAGCUAAUACCGCAUAACGUCGCAAGACCAAAGAGGGGGACCUUCGGGCCUCUUGCCAUCAGAUGUGCCCAGAUGGGAUUAGCUAGUAGGUGGGGUAACGGCUCACCUAGGCGACGAUCCCUAGCUGGUCUGAGAGGAUGACCAGCCACACUGGAACUGAGACACGGUCCAGACUCCUACGGGAGGCAAGCAUG
rnacentral:rRNA from 1 species